GUCACAAAGACCUUUCACUUAUGCUUUUGGUGCAUGCUGAGAGCCUGGGACACUGAGGUGGCACAGGACCACUUCACCUUGACCCCUGCUCUGGUGGAGGACCAGAGUGCUCACACUCGAGGGAAUGGCAUUAAUGCUAACCCCAAAGUUCCGAGCAGGACUUGCCCAGAGGAAGAUCUGGAGGAAAAUCCUGUACAACAAGAACAAAGACCUAGUAGGCAAGCCAGAAGCACCUUGACUGACAGGACUUGUCAUCUGUAAACUCAGACAGCACGUGACAUGCUCAGGACAGGAAGGACAAUGAAGGCUGACUUACAAGCCAGGUCAGUGGUGGCAGCCUGCCGGACAGACAGUCACGUCUCUCAGCCCCACCCAUCUUCCUUUGAACAUCAAGAGAGCCAGAGAAAUCCAGGUCAGCCGAAACAGCCUCCUUCCCUACUAGAGGCCCAGCCUAUGGCCUCCAGAAAUAGACACUGGAUCCCUGACAGCCUCCAAGGUACAGCCUACCCCUGCUGAAGUGCCCUGAAUCAUGAGAGAAAAUAUCACACAAUGGAAAAAUUAGAAA